rnacentral:rRNA from 1 species
CCUACGGGUGGCAGCAGUGGGGAAUAUUGGACAAUGGGCGAAAGCCUGAUCCAGCCAUGCCGCGUGUGUGAAGAAGGCCUUCGGGUUGUAAAGCACUUUCAGUGGGGAAGAAAGCCUUGGGGCUAAUACCCUCGAGGAAGGACAUCACCCACAGAAGAAGCACCGGCUAACUCCGUGCCAGCAGCCGCGGUAAUACGGAGGGGGCGAGCGUUAAUCGGAAUUACUGGGCGUAAAGCGCGCGUAGGCGGUCUGAUAAGCCGGUUGUGAAAGCCCCGGGCUCAACCUGGGAACGGCAUCCGGAACUGUCAGGCUAGAGUGCAGGAGAGGAAGGUAGAAUUCCCGGUGUAGCGGUGAAAUGCGUAGAGAUCGGGAGGAAUACCAGUGGCGAAGGCGGCCUUCUGGACUGACACUGACGCUGAGGUGCGAAAGCGUGGGUAGCAAACAGGAUUAGAUACCCCUGUAGUC